UACGUAGGGUGCGAGCGUUAAUCGGAAUUACUGGGCGUAAAGCGUGCGCAGGCGGUUCGUUGUGUCGGUGGUGAAAUCCCCGGGCUUAACCUGGGAAUGGCCAUGGAAACUGGCGAACUGGAGUGCGGCAGAGGGGGGUGGAAUUCCGCGUGUAGCAGUGAAAUGCGUAGAUAUCAGGAGGAACACCAAUGGCGAAGGCAGCUCGCUGGGACGGUACUGACGCUGAGACGCGAAAGCGUGGGGAGCAAACAGG
rnacentral:rRNA from 1 species